rnacentral:rRNA from 1 species
UACAGAGGUCUCGAGCGUUGUUCGGAUUCAUUGGGCGUAAAGGGUGCGUAGGUGGCUGCGUAAGUCGGGUGUGAAAUCCCGGGGCUCAACCCCGGAACUGCACUCGAUACUGCGUGGCUUGAGUACUGGAGAGGAGAUUGGAAUUUACGGUGUAGCAGUGAAAUGCGUAGAUAUCGUAAGGAAGACCAGUGGCGAAGGCGGAUCUCUGGACAGUUACUGACACUGAGGCACGAAGGCCCAGGGGAGCAAACGGG